rnacentral:rRNA from 1 species
GAGUUUGAUCAUGGCUCAGAACGUACGCUGGCGGCACGCCUAAUACAUGCAAGUCGAACGAAGUAGCAAUACUUAGUGGCAGACGGGUGAGUAACAUGUAGGUAUCUUCCCUUUGGUGAGGAAUAACACGAGGAAACUUGUGCUAAUACCUCAUAAGUCUUUACGGAGAAAGCUUUAUGCGCCAAUGGAUGAGCCUGCACUUGAUUAGUUUGUUGGUAGGGUAAUGGCCUACCAAGACAAUGAUCAAUAGCUGAUUUGAGAGGAUGAUCAGCCACAUUGGGACUGAGACACGGCCCAAACUCCUACGGGAGGCAGCAGUAGGGAACCUUGCACAAUGGGGGAAACCCUGAUGCAGCGAUGCCGCGUGAGUGAAGAAGGCCUUUGGGUUGUAAAGCUCUUUCGUCGGGGAAGAAAAUGACUGUACCCGAAUAAGAAGGUCCGGCUAACUUCGUGCCAGCAGCCGCGGUAAUACGAAGGGACCUAGCGUAGUUCGGAAUUACUGGGCUUAAAGAGUUCGUAGGUGGUUAAAAAAGCUGGUGGUGAAAUCCCAGAGCUUAACUCUGGAACUGCCAUCAAAACUUUUUAGCUAGAGUAUGAUAGAGGAAAGCAGAAUUUCUAGUGUAGAGGUGAAAUUCGUAGAUAUUAGAAAGAAUACCAAUUGCGAAGGCAGCUUUCUGGAUCAUUACUGACACUGAGGAACGAAAGCAUGGGUAGCGAAGAGGAUUAGAUACCCUCGUAGUCCAUGCCGUAAACGAUGUGUGUUAGACGUUGGAAAUUUAUUUUCUGUG